rnacentral:rRNA from 1 species
CGGACGGGUGAGUAACACGUGGAUAACCUACCUAUAAGACUGGUAUAACUUCGGGAAACCGGAGCUAAUACCGGAUAAUAUUUUGAACCGCAUGGUUCAAAAGUGAAAGACGGUCUUGCUGUCACUUAUAGAUGGAUCCGCGCUGCAUUAGCUAGUUGGUAAGGUAACGGCUUACCAAGGCAACGAUGCAUAGCCGACCUGAGAGGGUGAUCGGCCACACUGGAACUGAGACACGGUCCAG